rnacentral:lncRNA from 1 species
GGGAGCUCUAUGUUAUUUUGAAUCAAAAAAAUGCAAACCUGAUUGAAGUAAAUGAAGAGGUCAAGAAACUUUGUGCAACGCAGUUCAACAACAUCUUCUUCUUGGAUUGACGGAUGACGGCUCACCGAGAGCAUAUCUAAAAAACACUCUGCAAACAUUUGGUCACAUGCAAGUUAGUGGUCAUAUGACGGACUGCAUUCAGGACAAGGAUUACACUGGCCACCAGCUCCGUGACCCAGGCUGGAAUGCAAUGGCUCACUGCAGCCUCAACCUCCUGAGCUCAAGCAAUCCUCCCACCUCAGCCUCCCAAGAAGCUAGAACCACAUGUACACACCACCACGGAAAUUACGGCUUGUCCGGAAAGCACUUGGUCCUGAUGCGUUCUGGCAGCUACGGAAGACAGGAAGAG